rnacentral:lncRNA from 1 species
GAGAGUGAUCAAGCUUGUGAUAAAUGCCAGAAAGAGACUGACAAGGAGGGAGACAGAAAAGUGUCAUCAGAUCUGUCACUACGGAGACUAAAUGAAGGACGAAAAACAACAAAGCUGCAUGAGGAAACAAGAAGUGAUUGCCAGGCUCCUCUGAGGGCCCAGGGCUGCUUGGGACCUGCAGAAUUGCUGAACAGGGGAGUCGCUGUGGGCGAAGGGGUGCAGCUCCAGAGGAAAUUCCCAAAGGGAGAGACAGCACAACAACAUUUUGAACUGCAACCCCGUGGAAAAGAGAGAAGAGGAAGCAUGUCAAGUCUUCAGCUUUGGAGCCCACUUUCAGGGGAAUUCUAACUAAUGGUGGCCAUCUUGUUGACUAUGAGAGUGGGGACUGGAUGGCCGAGGUGACACAAUCCCAGACAUCGGGACAAUAAAUACUGACUAGGCCAAAGGUAUAGCUCCA